AUCCCAUGGUGAGGGCAUUUAUGUAGUAGCUCUUUGAAUCUUUCCCAUGCCUCGUAUAAGGACUCACCAUCUAUUUGUUGAAAAGUGGUAAUCUCACUCCGCAACUU
rfam:Gossypium raimondii Chr05_contig_619, whole genome shotgun sequence.